rnacentral:rRNA from 1 species
CAGGUAGGAAUACCCGCUGAACUUAAGCAUAUCAAUAAGCGGAGGAAACUG